AGACUGACAUUUGUGUCAGUGGACUGGAAGAGUAAGACCCACUCUCAAUACAGGUGGGAUGGCUGCCAGCGUGGCUAGAAUACAAGCAGGCAG